rnacentral:rRNA from 1 species
CCUUAGAUGUUCUGGGCCGCACGCGCGUUACAAUGGUGAUAUCAAUGAGUUUUGGAGUAAUUGAUUUAUUUCUAUUCUCCUUUUGCUUUCUUGAAAAUGAUGGCUAAUCUUUAAUAAAUAUCACCGUGCUUGGGAUAGAUGGUUGUAAUUAUCCGUCUUGAACCAGGAAUGCCUAGUAAUCGCAUGUCAUCAGCAUGUGAUGAUUACGUCCCUGCCCUUUGUACACACCGCCCGUCGCUCCUACUGAUUGAGUUGUCCGGUGAGAAUAGAGGAUUUUGAUUUGGGAAUGAGUAAAAUUAUUUCUAAAUUGGGAGAAUCUAUUCAAAUCUUAUAACUUAGAAGAAGGAGAAGUCGUAACAAGGUC